AUGUAUGCUUUUCUUGAAUUGAACAUGAUGAUGAGAGAUAUAAGUCCAUUUGUGUGUAAAAUGAUCUUGACGUUUGUAUGGAACUGCCUGAUGUAUGUCCAGUUUGUAUUCCCCUGGAGGUAUGGUGAUUUUUUCAUACUAAUAUUGGGGGAUGUUGGUUUUAUACUAAAUUACAUAUUGCAGAACAAUAGUUGUUUAUUCAAAUUCCUCAACGUGUAG